rnacentral:rRNA from 1 species
ACAAUGACAGUCAGUACGAGUGGUAACCAUGCUUGCACCGCUGACGAGUGGCGAACGGGUGAGUAAUGCGUCGGAAUGUACCGUGUAAUGGGGGAUAGCUCGGCGAAAGCCGGAUUAAUACCGCAUACGCCCUGAGGGGGAAAGCGGGGGAUCGAAAGACCUCGCGUUAUACGAGCAGCCGACGUCUGAUUAGCUAGUUGGUGAGGUAAGAGCUCACCAAGGCGACGAUCAGUAGCGGGUCUGAGAGGAUGAUCCGCCACACUGGGACUGAGACACGGCCCAAACUCCUACGGGAGGCAGCAGUGGGGAAUUUUGGACAAUGGGGGCAACCCUGAUCCAGCCAUGCCGCGUGUCUGAAGAAGGCCUUCGGGUUGUAAAGGACUUUUGUCAGGGAGGAAAUCCCGCUGGUUAAUACCCGGCGGGGAUGACAGUACCUGAAGAAUAAGCACCGGCUAACUACGUGCCAGCACCCGCGGUAAUACGUAGGGUGCGAGCGUUAAUCGGAAUUACUGGGCGUAAAGCGUGCGCAGGCGGUUGUGCAAGUCUGAUGUGAAAGCCCCGGGCUUAACCUGGGAACGGCAUUGGAGACUGGACAGCUAUAGUGCGUCAAAAGGGGGUAAAAUUCCACGUGUACCCCUGAAAUGGCUAAGAUGUGUAAGAUACCGAUCGCCAAGGGUCCCCCCUGGGGUGUCACUCACACUCUUGCGCGAAAGCGUGUGGAGCACACACGAUAGAUACCCUGUGAUCCCGCCCUACACAUGUCUCUAGCUGUUGGGGGUCUGAAUCCUUGGUAGCGUAGCUAACGCGUGAAGUUGACCGCCUGGGGAGUACGGCCGCAAGGGUAAAACUCAAAGGAAUUGACGGGGACCCGCACAAGCGGUGGAUGAUGUGGAUUAAUUCGAUGCAACGCGAAAAACCUUACCUGCUCUUGACAUGUACGGAACUUGCCAGAGAUGGCUUGGUGCCCGAAAGGGAGCCGUAACACAGGUGCUGCAUGGCUGUCGUCAGCUCGUGUCGUGAGAUGUUGGGUUAAGUCCCGCAACGAGCGCAACCCUUGUCAUUAGUUGCCAUCAUUAAGUUGGGCACUCUAAUGAGACUGCCGGUGACAAACCGGAGGAAGGUGGGGAUGACGUCAAGUCCUCAUGGCCCUUAUGAGCAGGGCUUCACACGUCAUACAAUGGUCGGUACAGAGGGUUGCCAAGCCGCGAGGUGGAGCUAAUCUCAGAAAACCGAUCGUAGUCCGGAUCGCACUCUGCAACUCGAGUGCGUGAAGUCGGAAUCGCUAGUAAUCGCAGAUCAGCAUGCUGCGGUGAAUACGUUCCCGGGUCUUGUACACACCGCCCGUCACACCAUGGGAGUGAGUUUCACCAGAAGUGGUAAGGCUAACCUCAAGGAGGCCGCGUAAUCCCA